ACUAUCCAUGCCCCAUUCAUAUUAUAUAUUAAAGUCAUGAUCUAAUUUUUGGUAUUAGAUUAGUCACAAUCAUGCUCCAGCAUGUGACAAGUCAAAAAUAUUAUCGCACAAUAGGUACCAUCCCACAUGGGACCUACGAAUUAGGAUGCUAUAUACUCGGAUCACAACCUUCUUCUGCACAACUUCUCCUUACAGAAUCAACCAAACAUCAAAGGAAGGUCAUAUAGUGGGUAUUAGCAACUUAGAACUUGUCACACUCCAAACUCAGCACCCA
rnacentral:lncRNA from 1 species